GACGAACGCUGGCGGCGUGCUUAACACAUGCAAGUCGAACGGAAAGGCCCUGCUUUUGUGGGGUGCUCGAGUGGCGAACGGGUGAGUAACACGUGAGUAACCUGCCCUUGACUUUGGGAUAACUUCAGGAAACUGGGGCUAAUACCGGAUAGGAGCUCCUGCUGCAUGGUGGGGGUUGGAAAGUUUCGGCGGUUGGGGAUGGACUCGCGGCUUAUCAGCUUGUUGGUGGGGUAGUGGCUUACCAAGGCUUUGACGGGUAGCCGGCCUGAGGGGGUGACCGGCCACAUUGGGACUGAGAUACGGCCCAGACUCCUACGGGAGGCAGCAGUGGGGAAUAUUGCACAAUGGGCGGAAGCCGGAGGCAGCAACGCCGCGUGCGGGAGGACGGCCUCGGGUUGUAAACCGCUUUCGCCUGUGACGAAGCGUGAGUGACGGUAAUGGGUAAAGAAGCACCGGCUAACUACGUG
rnacentral:rRNA from 1 species